rnacentral:lncRNA from 1 species
GCGACUCUCUUGCUUGUUAUCACAAAGCAAACUCAUUUCUCUGAGCUUUUGCUGGAUUUUAGGUGGCUUUGUGCAGCCUUUAUCUUGAUUUUGUUUCUCUUUUUCUGUUUCCAUUACCACCAACUCGAUCAGUGCUGUCAAAGCCACCUACUUAGCAUCAUUUCUGGUCCUUAGACAAGCCACUUUCUUUCCAACUCAAACCAGCAGUCUCCUCUCUCUCCUUCUCUCUCUCUCUCUCUCUCUUCUGGGCCCAAGAGAUUCUGAAGCAGAGCACAGCUGUGUGGAGCUCUUAUCUUCUUCUUCUUCUGGCACAAGAACAGCUGUCUUCUGAAGCCGAGCACCACCGCGGGUUAAGAGGUAAUAACAUCAUUUUAAAUUUUUAUUUUAUUUUUAAUUAAUAUAAAUAUAUUUUUUUAACACCGAAUCGUUAUAUUAGGGAUAUUUGUACAAUAACAGAGUUUUACAAGGAUAUAUAUGCAAUUUGAAAGAAUAUUCACAGAAAAUUCGAUAUUUAGAAGGAUAUUCAUGAAAAAAAACUCUUAAAACUACCAUCACUAUUAUUUUAUGGGCUGUUAAAUGCUUUUGUGGCCCUCCUCUUAUAUUGUUUACGUAACUGUUCUUUUAUCUGUUGAUACAAAGAAUUGAAAAUUUUCAAAAAAGUAUUUCUUCUCUAAGAGAAGUGUCAAUCGUUAAUAUCAAGUGUUAUUCUCACUGUAUAACAGUAGAGCAAAAGGAGCAACCAGCAGAGGAACUCUCUCUAGUGGUCAGCAAGAUUUGGCCGGUCAUCGUAUCUUCCUUUCCCCUCUCUCUCUCCUUUCCUCCUUUUCUCUCUCUCUUCAUCCCCCUCUUCUCCUUUUCUUUCCUCCUUCUCCCCUGGCUUUCAAUAUUGUGGCCGAUCAGAUCUAGAACUAUCCAAACGCUAGACCCCUUUUUUUCAGUGCUCAAAGCAAAGGUGAGGUAGAGACAUGUCCCUAAUCUUAUCUUAUGGGGAAGAAAGAAGUCCAGCAGAGCGAAGCAAUCGAGUAAAUCUGCGUCAGUCAGCCAUGUUGUAUUGUGAUCUGGUGGGAAGGGGGAUUACCAUUUGAAUUUUGAAAUUUGAAUUUCAAAAUUAGAAUGAUGGUUAAUGAUUGGAUGUAGGGGGUUUUAAAACUUUUUGAAUUUUAUAUUCUAUGUUGAAUGGAGUAAAGUAAUUUUUUUUUAUUUUUUGUAUUUUUUUUUCUCUUUUAUACUUUUCUUUAUCUUAAUAAAGUAUAGGGUGGGUCCCCCUUUGCUUUUCAAUACUUAAUUUUUUAUCAUGACAAUAAUGUGGUAUUUGGUGUCCUAAAUGGGAUGACCAAGAUGAUCUUAGAUAACUGGUGAUCCUCGUCUUGAGAUUAUCUGAUCUCGAUGAUCUAAGAUCACCAUAUUGACAAACUAUAUUCCAGUAAUUAAAUAUCCAUGUAUCUACGAGUUAGUUGUUUGGUAUAUUAUGGGAAUCCAAGAUUGCUAAUCAUAUAAUACAAAAACUACUUCUAAUAUAUUUCAUGAAAUAUAUUUAGAAAUCAUUAAAAUAUAUUAUAUAAAAUAUUAAUAUAUUUAUUAAUAUAUUAAUUAUUAAUAUAUUCUAUGAAAAUAUAUUUAUUAGUUCUAUAAAUUAUUAGUUUUGUAAAGAUAUAUUUAUUUUUAUUAUACAAUUAAUAUUUUUAUUUAUACUUAAAUAUAUUUUUAUGAUACUAAUAUUUAUUUUUAUUUGAAAAAUAAGAUAAAUGAAGUAAUAUAUUAAAUAAUUUCAUUAUAUAGAUAGAAAGUACAAUAGUAUAUUUCAUCUAUAAUUUAAAAUUAUCAUUGGAUAAUAAUAUGACAAUAAUAUAAUUAAAAAUAUAUUAUAAUAUAUAUAUAUAUAUCAUAAAUACAAUUUAUAAUAUAAUAUAUAAUAUUGAUAUACAAAUUUUUUUUUUGCUGGAUUGAGUGAGAAUGAUUUAGGAUUACUGUCAUCUAGGAUCACGAUGAUACAACUAAAUAUGGUGAUCUCAUCACCUUCACCCAUAUCAACCUUGAUCUUCAAAUGAUCACCUCAUACUAAACACCUUCUAAAAAAAAUUAAGCUACAUCCAUAGUUAGCCAACCAACCUUGAUAACUAGUUGCUUCUUAAAAAAUAAAUAAAUAAAUAAAUAAAUAAACUUGAUAAGUAAUUUGGAAUUGUACCACACAUAUAAACUUUUUAACAGUCAAUAAUGAUAAAUCACCAACUCUUAGACCUACCAUACCAGAAGAUGGAAGUCUUAUUGACAGUGGUAGUGGCCUACGUUUUGCAGUGUUGUGCCCCCUUGCGAGAGUGAGGGAGCAGUGAUCUUAAGGUGGAGGAUAAUGCUAUCAAGGAGGAGACUAAUCUCGAGGAUCAAAUUUGUAUGCAUUGGAAAAGGACACAAAUUCUUGUUAGGAGGUUACUCUAUUAGAGAGAGAUUGAUAUGAAGAGAAGGUUAGGUCCGCACCCGUCUCCAAUGGGCUCAAAAAAGGGCAAAAAAAGAGAGCUUAUAGGCAUCACAAGUAGGGUUAAUGAGUUGAUGAUCUAAUCAAGGCCCAUAUUAGUAGGGUUAAGCAUAUGCCCAGUCUAACUACCUUAUCUGACCUAUUAAACCUCACUAUCAUCGACAAAUCAUUUGAAAUGGAUGAGCUCCCUUCGAGGCAAGUAAUUAGCUCCAAAUCUAAGAAGUUCUACUCAUAGUUUUGGAGAUGUAAACCCUAACCCCUAGUGGGGCAAUCUUAAGCCUUCUCACCAUCACAUACACUGGAUAAUCAAGCUAGCUGCCUAUUCUCCACAUGGAAGCAAGACCCGAGAUGAUAUUGCACCCCACAUGCAAUGAAUAUAAGAAGGGUGGCAAUGAUUUCAUUGGACCUUUUCCUUAGCCAAACAAUAUAUGUACUUACAGAUGGUAAUAAGGGCUAAUAACCUGCUAGCUUGACUAUAACUUGACUCAAAAUCAACUUGGGUUCAAAAAAUGAAAACCUAUGGGCUUUGAAAUUGAAAAGCAAAAUAUUAUUUGGUUGGAUCGAGAAUUAGGCCAAUGCAUUUCCAAAAUCCUAAAACUGAUCGAAUAGUUUUUAACAUUUCUAGUUGAUCUAUGAUUAACAAACAAUGAAUUCGGAUAGUUCAGAAUAGAAUAUAAAAUAUAUUAACAAAUAAUAGUUCUGAAUUUGGAGAAUAUUCAAUUCUUGCUGCACCUAUCAUUUUUCUACCAAAGUUGGCCUUCCAACUUUUUUAUAAUAUACAACUGUUCCUAUUUAAAAUUCUAAUUCUUAUUUAAAUAAUUCUAAUUGUUUACUUUUUGCUAAUUUGACAAAGAUACUAAAUAAUCAUAGCUCUUGAAAAAGAAGAGAAAAAAAAGUGAAUUCUAAUUCCUAUUUUUUUUGAAAGGGGAGCUUUUGGUACCCUCUCUUCCUUUCUCAAUGAAAUUCAUACUGCUAUAGAAAGGACCUAGAUGGGUGGUUGGGAUUUUACUUAGGAGGUGGGAGAGAUGCGGUAGAAUAUAUUUAUCAGUUUUGAAUUUAAGGAAGAAGAUACCGAGGAAGGUUUGAGAUGCAUGAUUCUAAGUUUUUGGGAUUAGAUUUUAAUAAAAAGAUUUAAGAUAGCAUUACCCCUAAAUUCUAGUUGGCAAAAAAAAAUAACUCAAGAUUAGAAGUGGUAAUGCUUAACCAUUUAAUCUAUUUAACUUAUUUCAAUUUGUUAUAAAUUGGAUUAAAUUACUUGUUUAAUAAAAUAGUUGAGUUCGAGAUUUUUUACCCAUUCAAUAAAAAGGUCGGAUUCGAGUUGAUAGAUUUUUGAUUUAUUCUAUAUCCGUCUUGACCUAUAUCUUGUCCGACCCAACUUGAUUUCCAUUCAUAUUCAAGAUAUUGGUACAAUAUUUAUUAACAAAUAUUAUAUAAAUUGCAAGAUUUUGUAGGUAUUAUUUUUUUAGGUAAACUAUCACUUGGAUAGGGAACCAAAAAAAUUGAAGGUCAUGAUCACUUGGUAAGAGUACAAAGUAAUAAAUGAAGCUUGACUCAGUUGGAUGGCUUUGAUUGAUCUUGAAUGCACUUCACCAACUAUUAGUUGAAGAGGAUAUGAUCUUUCAUCUCCCAAUAAAUGCACUUGAGUAUUUUUCUCUUUGAAGUAACUCUCUUCUAUUUGUUUUCUCUUUUUUGCUCUUAUUGUUGUUGAUUUCUUUACGCACUUCUCGUUCUCUUUAUUUCUUUUAGUAUUUUCAUACAUUUAUACUAUUUAGAAGUGGUUGGAACACUCUCCUAACUGUUAGAUAGGAUAAAACAACCAUUGUGAGAUGAAAAUAGUCAUUUUGAUUUAUAUAAAAAACUAACCAUUACUGUUAUCGAACAUACAGGAGUCGACUCGACAUUUUAAUCGACUCGUGAUAUCCAGGAGUCAACUCGUGAUCUUCGAGGGCCGACUCGAACUUGC